rnacentral:rRNA from 1 species
AGAGUUUGAUCCUGGCUCAGGAUGAACGCUAGCGACAGGCUUAACACAUGCAAGUCGAGGGGCAGCACGGGAGUAGCAAUACAACUGGUGGCGACCGGCGCACGGGUGAGUAACGCGUAUGCAACCUACCUAUCAGAGGGGAAUAACCCGGCGAAAGUCGGACUAAUACCGCAUAAAACAGGGGCACCGCAUGGUGAUAUUUGUUAAAGAAAUUCGCUGAUAGAUGGGCAUGCGUUCCAUUAGGUAGUUGGUGAGGUAACGGCUCACCAAGCCGACGAUGGAUAGGGGAACUGAGAGGUUGGUCCCCCACACUGGUACUGAGACACGGACCAGACUCCUACGGGAGGCAGCAGUGAGGAAUAUUGGUCAAUGGGCGGGAGCCUGAACCAGCCAAGUCGCGUGAAGGAAGAAGGAUCUAUGGUUCGUAAACUUCUUUUGCAGGGGAAUAAAGUGCAGGACGUGUCCUGUUUUGUAUGUACCCUGAGAAUAAGGAUCGGCUAACUCCGUGCCAGCAGCCGCGGUAAUACGGAGGAUCCGAGCGUUAUCCGGAUUUAUUGGGUUUAAAGGGUGCGUAGGUGGUUUGAUAAGUCAGCGGUGAAAGUUUGCAGCUUAACUGUAAAAAUGCCGUUGAAACUGUCGGACUUGAGUGUAAAUGAGGUAGGCGGAAUGCGUGGUGUAGCGGUGAAAUGCAUAGAUAUCACGCAGAACUCCGAUUGCGAAGGCAGCUUACUAAGCUACAACUGACACUGAAGCACGAAAGCGUGGGGAUCAAACAGGAUUAGAUACCCUGGUAGUCCACGCAGUAAACGAUGAUUACUAGCUGUUUGCGAUACACAGUAAGCGGCACAGCGAAAGCGUUAAGUAAUCCACCUGGGGAGUACGCCGGCAACGGUGAAACUCAAAUGAAUUGACGG